rnacentral:lncRNA from 1 species
UGGCCUUCUUCUCAUCCCUUGCUUUCUUUUCUUCAUAAACCUUUUAAAUUUGUGAGUAAUGAGGGCUAAUUCUUCAUCUUCAUCAUCAUCUUCAGUAUAGUUAGAUUCCUCCUCUUGGUGGACAGUGAACUUUAGAGCUAUUAUCUUUUUCUUCUUAACCUCUUCUUCAUUAUGCUGUCUCAUACUCAAUUCAUGAGUCAUGAAUGAUCCUAGAAGCUCC